AUAGAAGUGAUGAUUUUUUCCUAGAUGAACGACGUUGAUAUUACUGUGCGAUUUUGUUCUCAUUAGAGAAAUCAAGCCGAUUAAUUUGAUCCAU
rfam:Lupinus angustifolius cultivar Tanjil contig_1326, whole genome shotgun sequence.